rnacentral:lncRNA from 1 species
AUGGCGGCCAAUGUUUUAAAUUUUCAAGAGUAUGUGAAUAUUUUGAGACCAAAAGGGGAGCAAACACGGUACCACAAACUUUACUUACCUUGAAAUACAUGAUGGUAUCUGGACGGAAAAAUGACGUCUCAGCGGCUGAAACACUCUGAAAUGGAAACCACGUGCGACAUAACAGAACUGCCGAGUCAUAACUCCUCAAGGUUAAAGCAGAAAUGUUGGUUGAUCAUGAAUUAUGGCUUUUGGUGUGCAAGGGCAACUACAAGCAAGUGAACUGAGUCAACCAAUGAAGAGUCUACAAUAACUCAAAGUGUGUUCAAACCACUUCUGUUUUAACUCCUUUUGAGACAAACAAAGCCACGCCUGAAGUCACAUGAAGACUUUAUCUUUAAGUAUCAAGAUCGUAUAUUUUUCCACUGAAGAGCAAGUCACAAACAGGUAGACAAUAUUUUAUUUGAAGAUUACGGUUAUGGUGGAAUCUUAUAAUGAUGUCUACCGGAAUUGAAAGUUUCAAGCUUCUAUGUCGAUGUACUGAUAACAGCCAGAUCUUCAUAAAAGAAAAGCAAAUCAGUGAAGGUUGGACUUAAAACUUGAGAAGAAGUUGAUCCUAUCGCUUAAGGAAAAUGACAAUUUAACUGCUUUAAGGUUCAAAGUUACUGCAAGGUUUGGAUGUAACGAAAUAUGUUGGAACGUUAGCUUCCGCGGUUUUCGCUACUUUGUUCCUUCAAAUUCAAGUUAUAGGGCACCUAUUUUUUAGUUUGUUGUUUGUCAUUGCAAUUCAAGCAAUUAGCAAGUCGACAUUGACUAUUAAAUUAGAAAUGAACAAAAUGAACGAGUCAAUCAAAUUCACGUCCUAGAACUCCCCAGGUGGUUCUCCAGGACUCUAAAUUCACCGAAAUUGUUGUUCAUGUUUGUAAGCAUUACGGAAAAAAUUGCUUCACUUUUUUCAGAAUUGCGAAGCCAGUUCAGAGAGCCACGUGCAAAACGCAGGUUGUAAUAUGCAAAUUCCGUGGCGAAACAGACUUAAACACGAAGGCGCGCUAUAAAAGGAGCCUUAGAUCCCACUGAACCAUUUGUCAAUCAA